GCCGGAUUAGCUCAGUUGGUAGAGCAUCUCAUUCGUAAUGAGGGGGUCGUUGGUUCAAAUCCGACAUCCGGCACCA
rnacentral:tRNA from 1 species